UAUAUAUAAAGGCAAACCUGUUGAAAGACAGGGACGCAAAGCCAUGGGUCUAAGGUCCGAAGGAUGACUAUGACAGCCGGUUGCCGCA
rfam:Ruminococcus sp. SR1/5 draft genome.